CAGCAGCCACGGGAAUACGAAGGGGGCUAGCGUUGUUCGGAAUUACUGGGCGUAAAGCGCACGUAGGCGGAUCGAUCAGUCAGGGGUGAAAUCCCAGGGCUCAACCCUGGAACUGCCUUUGAUACUGUCGAUCUGGAGUAUGGAAGAGGUGAGUGGAAUUCCGAGUGUAGAGGUGAAAUUCGUAGAUAUUCGGAGGAACACCAGUGGCGAAGGCGGCUCACUGGUCCAUUACUGACGCUGAAGUGCGAAAGCGUGGGGAGCAAACAGGAUUAGAUACCCCAGUAGUCCCUGUCUCUUAUAC
rnacentral:rRNA from 1 species